rnacentral:misc_RNA from 1 species
GUAUUUAUUUAUGAUAUAUUUAUAAUUUCAGACAAAAUUUUAAGGCGUUGAUUAAAAAUUCUGGGAGGUUGGUAUAUAUAUAUAUACAAAUACCAAAUCCAUCCCAAAGUAGUUUUCAAUAGGUGCACACAAGGUGGGUAUGGAUACUUGAAUCCAUGUGGGUUCAAAUUGUUAAUGAUCCUUCCGCAGGUUCACCUACGGAAA